rnacentral:rRNA from 1 species
GUAGGUGGCAAGCGUUGUCCGGAAUUAUUGGGCGUAAAGCGCGCGCAGGCGGUUCUUUAAGUCUGAUGUGAAAGCCCACGGCUCAACCGUGGAGGGUCAUUGGAAACUGGAGAACUUGAGUACAGAAGAGGAAAGCGGAAUUCCACGUGUAGCGGUGAAAUGCGUAGAGACGUGGAGGAACACCAGUGGCGAAGGCGGCUUUCUGGUCUGUAACUGACGCUGAGGCGCGAAAGCGUGGGGAGCAAACAGGGAUUAGAUACCCUGGUAGUCCACGCCGUAAACGAUGAGUGCUAAGUGUUAGGGGGGUUUCCGCCCCCUUAGUGCUGCAGCUAACGCAUUAAGCACUCCGCCUGGGGAGUACGGCCGCAAGGCUG